AAUUUCGGUCUUAAUGUGUAUGAGUUAAAAUGAAAGGAGCAAUACCACCCCCUUGUUCUAUCAAGGGGGUGGUAUUGCUCCUUUCAUUAUUUAGUCGUUUUUUUUUUUUUUAUUAUUCUUUUAACCAAAAGUAGUCUUAUGAGUUGGUUUAUGGUUGAGUAUCCUAUAUUCUGUUCUGUACUAAUUUGGAAUUUAUAGAUAUGUAUGAUGCCCUUCUUAUUGGAAAAAUGAAGAAAAGAAAGAACUAAUGAUGAAUGGUUGAAAUAGAAUCUUUUCCAAUUUGUAACCUAGUAUCUAAGUUAAAUAUUUAAAG
rnacentral:misc_RNA from 1 species